GAGAUCGCUGGAGGACUCGGACCGACUUCUGGAAAAAUAUUCAGGAUUGGAUUGAUGGGAAUUAAUGCUAACUUGCUAAUUGUUGACAAACUUCUCCAAGCUUUGGAUAAAGUGUUGAGCUUCGCGAGACAAAGUCGGCUUUAAUAAAACAUGGAAUUGUUUUUCAUUCUUAAUUUUAAUAUUAUCUCUAAAAAUAAAAAAAAAAUGC